rnacentral:rRNA from 1 species
AACGUAGGACGCAAGCGUUAUCCGGAGUUACUGGGCGUAAAGGGCGUGUAGGCGGCUUUUCACGUUCGUCGUGAAAGACCCCGGCUAAACCGGGGGAGGUCGUCGGGGACCGCACCGCUUGAGGGCGGUAGGGGCCGGUGGAAUGCCUGGUGUAGCGGUGAAAUGCGUAGAGAUCAGGCAGAACACCUGGGGCGAAGGCGGCCGGCUGGGCCGUCCCUGACGCUGAGGCGCGAAGGCGUGGGGAGCGAACGGG